rnacentral:misc_RNA from 1 species
UACGUAGGUGGCAAGCGUUGUCCGGAAUUAUUGGGCGUAAAGCGCGCGCAGGCGGUUCGGUAAGUUGGAUGUGAAAUCCCCAGGCUCAACCUGGGAAUUGCAUUCAAGACUGCCGUACUAGAGGCCUGGAGAGGAGAGUGGAAUUCCCAGUGUAGAGGUGAAAUUCGUAGAUAUUGGGAAGAACACCAGUGGCGAAGGCGGCUCUCUGGCCAGGUUCUGACGCUGAGGCGCGAAAGUGUGGGGAGCAAACAGG